rnacentral:rRNA from 1 species
AGGGCGCACGGUGGAUGCCUUGGCACUAGGAGCCGAUGAAGGACGGGACUAACACCGAUAUGCUUCGGGGAGCUGUAAGUAAGCUUUGAUCCGGAGAUUUCCGAAUGGGGGAACCCAGCAUCUUUUAUAGGAUGUUACUUUUCAGUGAAUACAUAGCUGAUUAGAGGUAGACGCAGAGAACUGAAACAUCUAAGUACCUGCAGGAAGAGAAAGAAAAAUCGAUUCCCUGAGUAGCGGCGAGCGAAACGGGAAAAGCCCAAACCAAGAGGCUUGCCUCUUGGGGUUGUAGGACUCCGAUACGGUAGUCCAGUGAGAUAGUCGAAGGACCUGGAAAGGUCUGCUAGAAAGGGUAAAAGCCCCGUAGACAAAAUUUGACUGGCACCUAGGAGGAUCCUGAGUACGGCGGAACACGAGGAAUUCCGUCGGAAUCCGGGAGGACCAUCUCCCAAGGCUAAAUACUCCCUAGUGACCGAUAGUGAACCAGUACCGUGAGGGAAAGGUGAAAAGCACCCCGGAAGGGGAGUGAAAUAGAUCCUGAAACCGUGUGCCUACAACAAGUUAGAGCCCGUUAAUGGGUGAUAGCGUGCCUUUUGUAGAAUGAACCGGCGAGUUACGAUUACUUGCGAGGUUAAGUUGAAAAGACGGAGCCGCAGCGAAAGCGAGUCUGAAUAGGGCGAAUGAGUAAGUGGUCGUAGACCCGAAACCAUGUGAUCUACCCAUGUCCAGGUUGAAGGUGCGGUAAAACGCACUGGAGGACCGAACCCACGUACGUUGAAAAGUGCGGGGAUGAGGUGUGGGUAGCGGAGAAAUUCCAAACGAACUUGGAGAUAGCUGGUUCUCUCCGAAAUAGCUUUAGGGCUAGCCUCAGAGUAAGAAUGAUGGAGGUAGAGCACUGUUUGGACUAGGGGCCCAUCUCGGGUUACCGAAUUCAGAUAAACUCCGAAUGCCAUCCAUUCAUCUCUGGGAGUCAGACUGUGAGUGAUAAGAUCCAUAGUCGAAAGGGAAACAGCCCAGACCACCAGCUAAGGUCCCCAAAUAACUAUUAAGUGGAAAAGGAUGUGGGGUUGCACAGACAACUAGGAUGUUGGCUUAGAAGCAGCCACCAUUUAAAGAGUGCGUAAUAGCUCACUAGUCGAGUGACCCUGCGCCGAAAAUGUACCGGGGCUAAAUAGUUUACCGAAGCUGUGGAACACACCAAUAGGUGUGUUGGUAGGAGAGCGUUCUAAGGGCGUUGAAGGCAGAUCGUGAGGACUGCUGGAGCGCUUAGAAGUGAGAAUGCCGGUAUGAGUAGCGAAAGACAGGUGAGAAUCCUGUCCACCGAAUGACUAAGGUUUCCUGGGGAAGGCUCGUCCGCCCAGGGUUAGUCGGGACCUAAGCCGAGGCCGACAGGCGUAGGCGAUGGACAACAGGUUGAUAUUCCUGUACUCGUUGUUUUUGUUUGAGCAAUGGAGGGACGCAGGAGGCUAAGGAAUCAGACGAUUGGAAAUGUCUGUCCAAGCAAUAAGUCUUGAUGUGAGUCAAAUGCUUACGUCUUUAAGGACAAGUUGUGAUGGGGAGGGAAAUAAUAGUACCGAAGUUCCUGAUGUCACACUGCCGAGAAAAGCUUCUAGUGAGAAAACAAUGGCCCGUACCGCAAACCGACACAGGUAGUCGAGGAGAGAAUCCUAAGGUGAGCGAGAGAACUCUCGUUAAGGAACUCGGCAAAAUGACCCCGUAACUUCGGGAGAAGGGGUGCUGAUCUAACGAUCAGCCGCAGUGAAUAGGCCCAAGCGACUGUUUAUCAAAAACACAGGUCUCUGCAAAAUCGAAAGAUGACGUAUAGGGGCUGACGCCUGCCCGGUGCUGGAAGGUUAAGAGGAGUGCUUAGCGUAAGCGAAGGUACGAAUUGAAGCCCCAGUAAACGGCGGCCGUAACUAUAACGGUCCUAAGGUAGCGAAAUUCCUUGUCGGGUAAGUUCCGACCCGCACGAAAGGCGUAACGAUUUGGGCACUGUCUCAACGAGAGACUCGGUGAAAUUUUAGUACCUGUGAAGAUGCAGGUUACCCGCGACAGGACGGAAAGACCCCAUGGAGCUUUACUGCAGUUUGAUAUUGAGUGUUUGUACCACAUGUACAGGAUAGGUAGGAGCCGUAGAAGUCGGGACGCUAGUUUCGACAGAGGCGCUGGUGGGAUACUACCCUUGUGUUAUGACCACUCUAACCCGCACCACUGAUCGUGGUGGGAGACAGUGUCAGAUGGGCAGUUUGACUGGGGCGGUCGCCUCCUAAAGAGUAACGGAGGCGCCCAAAGGUUCCCUCAGAAUGGUUGGAAAUCAUUCGCAGAGUGUAAAGGCACAAGGGAGCUUGACUGCGAGACCUACAAGUCGAGCAGGGACGAAAGUCGGGCUUAGUGAUCCGGUGGUUCCGCAUGGAAGGGCCAUCGCUCAACGGAUAAAAGCUACCCUGGGGAUAACAGGCUUAUCUCCCCCAAGAGUCCACAUCGACGGGGAGGUUUGGCACCUCGAUGUCGGCUCGUCGCAUCCUGGGGCUGUAGUCGGUCCCAAGGGUUGGGCUGUUCGCCCAUUAAAGCGGCACGCGAGCUGGGUUCAGAACGUCGUGAGACAGUUCGGUCCCUAUCCGUCGCGGGCGUUGGAAAUUUGAGAGGAUCUGUCCUUAGUACGAGAGGACCGGGAUGGACUUACCGCUGGUGUACCAGUUGUCUCGCCAGAGGCAUCGCUGGGUAGCUAUGUAGGGAAGGGAUAAACGCUGAAAGCAUCUAAGUGUGAAGCCCACCUCAAGAUGAGAUUUCCCAUUUCU